rnacentral:rRNA from 1 species
UACGGGGGGAGCAAGCGUUGUUCGGAUUUACUGGGCGUAAAGGGCGCGUAGGCGGCCACCGCAAGUCGACUGUGAAAUCUCCGGGCUUAACCCGGAAAGGUCAGCCGAUACUGCGGGGCUAGAGUGCAGAAGGGGCAACUGGAAUUCUCGGUGUAGCGGUGAAAUGCGCAGAUAUCAGGAGGAACACCGGUGGCGAAGGCGGUUCUCUGGGAAUGUCCUGACGCUGAGGAGCGAAAGUGUGGGGAGCGAACAGG